rnacentral:rRNA from 1 species
GGCAUCGGAUAACCUUGGGAAACUAAGGCUAAAGGCUGAGGGUGACGCCUAGCACUAUCAGCUAGUAGGUAGUGUAACGGACUACCUAGGCGGUGACGGUUAACGGGAUACGAGAGUGUGAUACCGGAGAGGGAGCCUGAGAAAUGGCUCCCACAUCCAAGGAUGGCAGCAGGCGCGAAAAUUGUCCACUCUUUAUAGGAGACAGUUAUGAAAAGUAAAAACGGUGGGUCUUGUAAAGAAAGAUUCUAAAAUUGGAGGGCAAGUUUGGUGCC